rnacentral:lncRNA from 1 species
GAAGGCAGGUAAGGAAUUGGUUAGGAAUUGGCUUUGGAUUUGAGGUGGGUCAUGAUCGUUGAUUUGCUUGAACUUGUUCUCGAGCCCAAUGUCAUUAAAAUUUAAUUCUUGCUAAACUGCUUCAGACCGGACUCGACAAGACUAAAAACAGGACCGUGACUUAAUAAAAAGGGUUAAUCAAACCUUUUUCCUCAUACAAAAAUAAUUAUCUAAUCAGGACCAAAACCUAUUUAAU